UACGGAGGGUGCAAGCGUUAAUCGGAAUUACUGGGCGUAAAGCGCGCGUAGGCGGCUUAGUCAGUCGGAUGUGAAAUCCCCGGGCUUAACCUGGGAACUGCAUACGAUACUGCUGAGCUAGAGUAUGGAAGAGGGAAGUGGAAUUCCGGGUGUAGCGGUGAAAUGCGUAGAUAUCCGGAGGAACACCAGUGGCGAAGGCGACUUCCUGGGCCAAUACUGACGCUGAGGUGCGAAAGCGUGGGGAGCAAACAGG
rnacentral:rRNA from 1 species